CAGUAGCCGCGGUAAUGCGUAGGUGGCAAGCGUUGUCCGGAAUUAUUGGGCGUAAAGGGCUCGCAGGCGGUUUCUUAAGUCUGAUGUGAAAGCCCCCGGCUCAACCGGGGAGGGUCAUUGGAAACUGGGAAACUUGAGUGCAGAAGAGGAGAGUGGAAUUCCACGUGUAGCGGUGAAAUGCGUAGAGAUGUGGAGGAACACCAGUGGCGAAGGCGGCUCACUGGCCCGGUACUGACGCUGAGGCGCGAAAGCGUGGGGAGCAAACAGGAUUAGAUACCCCUGUAGUCCCUGUCUCUUAUAC
rnacentral:rRNA from 1 species